UUUGACAACCACUGAGUUGGACAAGGAAGGAGAGGAAGAGGAGCAGAGAUUUCCAAGCAACAGGACAGCUUGCGUGAUGGCCUGAGAUGAGCACAUUGAGGCCCCUAGAGGGCAAGCACCCGCUUCAAAUCUCAGGGACAGUCAUGGCCGAGUGUGAGGGGAACUCAGGCUCUCUGAGACCUGGGCCUGGCUGUCCCCUCCCUGGGAGAGAAUUCAAAGUCUGGAGUCUUUCCUGAGAUCCCCCAGGUGGGAGUCUGAGACACAGAGAAGGGACACUAAAGACUGGCUUCCUGUCCUGGGCUCUUGGGUCAAUGACAGAGAGAAGCAAGCCUGGGCCCAUCAAAGCCUCUGGGUGCAAGGUCUGGCGUGGCUGGGCAGGAAAGAGCUGCCUUCAAAAGCUGCCUCCUCCAAAGUGCAGCAG